UUGUGGAGGAGGACGCCGAAGGUGGGGCUAAUGACUGGGGUGAAGUCGUAACAAGGUAGCCGUACCGGAAGGUGCGGCUGGAUCACCUCCUAACAGGGAGACAACAAAAUGUUUAAUAUUAUUAUUUUGUCACCUUAGGUCGAUCGGUAUCUCACAUUUUAAAUUUAUUAAGAAUUUCAUUUCCUAAGUUUUUCUAGGUCACACCCAUUAUUUUCCUGGGCCAUUAGCUCAGGUGGUUAGAGCGCACCCCUGAUAAGGGUGAGGUCCCUGGUUCAAGUCCAGGAUGGCCCAUAUCUCUAUGUUGGGGGUAUAGCUCAGUUGGUAGAGCGCCUGCUUUGCAAGCAGGAUGUCAGCGGUUCGAGUCCGCUUACCUCCACUGAUUACCACCUCUUCCAUAACUGUAGAAAGGGAAUGUUUUGAGUUGUGAUCAAAUUCUGAACGAAUCUAGCUUCUCAAUAAUCUUUAUUAGGAUGCUGGACUCAUUGAAUUAUUUUCAUUGUUUUCAGAGAACCUUGACAACUGCAUAGAUUAUUUUUAAAGACAAUAAGCAUCUUUAAUGAUGCAGAUUUAUUAUUUGUGCGAAUGCAUUAAUAACAAUUCUAUUGAGCUGAUGCUUCGAUUUUCGAAGUUAUUGGUCAAGCUACAA
rnacentral:misc_RNA from 1 species